rnacentral:rRNA from 1 species
ACUCCUACGGGAGGCAGCAGUGGGGAAUAUUGCACAAUGGGCGCAAGCCUGAUGCAGCCAUGCCGCGUGUAUGAAGAAGGCCUUCGGGUUGUAAAGUACUUUCAGCAGUGAGGAAGGUGGGUAUGUUAAUAGCAUAUUCAUUUGACGUUAGCUGCAGAAGAAGCACCGGCUAACUCCGUGCCAGCAGCCGCGGUAAUACGGAGGGUGCGAGCGUUAAUCGGAAUUACUGGGCGUAAAGCGCAUGCAGGUGGUUUGUUAAGUCAGAUGUGAAAGCCCGGGGCUCAACCUCGGAAUUGCAUUUGAAACUGGCAAACUAGAGUACUGUAGAGGGGGGUAGAAUUUCAGGUGUAGCGGUGAAAUGCGUAGAGAUCUGAAGGAAUACCGGUGCGAAGGCGGCCCCCUGGACAGAUACUGACACUCAGAUGCGAAAGCGUGGGGAGCAAACAGGAUUAGAUACCCUGGUAGGCUCU